rnacentral:rRNA from 1 species
GAUGAACGCUGGCGGCGUGCCUAAUACAUGCAAGUCGAGCGAACAGACGAGGAGCUUGCUCCUCUGACGUUAGCGGCGGACGGGUGAGUAACACGUGGAUAACCUACCUAUAAGACUGGGAUAACUUCGGGAAACCGGAGCUAAUACCGGAUAAUAUAUUGAACCGCAUGGUUCAAUAGUGAAAGACGGUUUUGCUGUCACUUAUAGAUGGAUCCGCGCUGCAUUAGCUAGUUGGUAAGGUAACGGCUUACCAAGGCGACGAUGCGUAGCCGACCUGAGAGGGUGAUCGGCGACACUGGAACUGAGACACGGUCCAGACUCCUACGGGAGGCAGCAGUAGGGAAUCUUACGCAAUGGGCGAAAGCCUGACGGAGCAACGCCGCGUGAGUGAUGAAGGUCUUCGGAUCGUAAAACUCUGUUAUUAGGGAAGAACAAAUGUGUAAGUAACUGUGCACGUCUUGACGGUACCUAAUCAGAAAGCCACGGCUAACUACGUG